rnacentral:rRNA from 1 species
GAUGAACGCUAGCGGCAGGCUUAAUACAUGCAAGUCGUACGAGAAAGCCGGCUUCGGCUGGUGAGUAAAGUGGCGCACGGGUGAGUAACGCGUGGAUAAUCUGCCCUUAAGUGUGGAAUAACGUACCGAAAGGUGCGCUAAUACCGCAUAAUGCCUGGCAACACAAGUUGUCCGGCCAAAGAAGGCCUCUGUUUACAAGCUUUCGCUUCAGGAUGAGUCCGCGUACCAUUAGCUUGUUGGUGGGGUAAUGGCCUACCAAGGCUGCGAUGGUUAGCUGGUCUGAGAGGAUGAUCAGCCACACUGGAACUGAGACACGGUCCAGACUCCUACGGGAGGCAGCAGUGAGGAAUAUUGCGCAAUGGGGGCAACCCUGACGCAGCAACGCCGCGUGAGUGAGGAAGGUUUUCGGACUGUAAAGCUCUGUCGAGCGGGAAGAAGUGUACCAUGGCUAAUAUCCAUGAUAUUUGACGGUACCGCU